UACGAAGGGGGCUAGCGUUGCUCGGAAUCACUGGGCGUAAAGCGUGCGCAGGCGGUUCGUUGUGUCGGCGGUGAAAGCCCCGGGCUCAACCUGGGAAUGGCAUUUGGGACUGCAAGGCUGGAGUGUGGCAGAGGAGACUGGAAUUCCUGGUGUAGCAGUGAAAUGCGUAGAUAUCAGGAGGAAUACCGAUGGCGAAGGCAGGUCUCUGGGCUGACACUGACGCUCAUGCACGAAAGCGUGGGGAGCAAACAGG
rnacentral:rRNA from 1 species